rnacentral:tRNA from 1 species
GACAGUAUGUCCGAGUGGUUAAGGAGCAAGACUUGAAUUACCUAAAUGAAAUCUUGUAGCGUUUCGCUGCGCAGGUUCAAAUCCUGCUGCUGUCG